rnacentral:rRNA from 1 species
CUGCGAAUGGCUCAUUAUAUAAGUUAUCGUUUAUUUGAUAAUACCUUACUACUUGGAUAACCGUGGUAAUUCUAGAGCUAAUACAUGCUAAAAACCCCGACUCCGGGAGGGGUGUAUUUAUUAGAUUAAAAACCAAUGCCCCCUGGGCUCUCUGGUGAUUCAUAAUAACUCCUCGAAUCGCAUGGCCUUGCGCCGGCGAUGGUUCAUUCAAAUUUCUUCCCUAUCAACUUUCGAUGUUUGGGUAGUGGCCAAACAUGGUUGCAACGGGUAACGGAGGGUUAGGGCUCGACCCCGGAGAAGGAGCCUGAGAAACGGCUACUACAUCCAAGGAAGGCAGCAGGCGCGCAAAUUACCCAAUCCCGACACGGGGAGGUAGUGACAAUAAAUACUGAUACAGGGCUCUUUUGGGUCUUGUAAUUGGAAUGAGUACAAUUUAAAUCCCUUAACGAGGAACAAUUGGAGGGCAAGUCUGGUGCCAGCAGCCGCGGUAAUUCCAGCUCCAAUAGCGUAUAUUAAAGUUGUUGUGGUUAAAAAGCUCGUAGUUGAACCUUGGGCCUGGCUGGCCGGUCCGCCUCACCGCGUGCACUGGUCCGGCCGGGCCUUUCCCUCUGUGGAACCCCAUGCCCUUCGCUGGGCGUGGCGGGGAAACAGGACUUUUACUUUGAAAAAAUUAGAGUGCUCCAGGCAGGCCUAUGCUCGAAUACAUUAGCAUGGAAUAAUGAAAUAGGACGUGCGGUUCUAUUUUGUUGGUUUCUAGGACCGCCGUAAUGAUUAAUAGGGACAGUCGGGGGCAUCAGUAUUCAAUUGUCAGAGGUGAAAUUCUUGGAUUUAUUGAAGACUAACUACUGCGAAAGCAUUUGCCAAGGAUGUUUUCAUUAAUCAGGAACGAAAGUUAGGGGAUCGAAGACGAUCAGAUACCGUCGUAGUCUUAACCAUAAACUAUGCCGACUAGGGAUCGGACGAUGUUAUUUUUUGACUCGUUCGGCACCUUACGAGAAAUCAAAGUGCUUGGGCUCCAGGGGGAG